UUUUAUUUUGUUCUAUUUUAGAAUUCGUCCUUUUACGAAAUUUAACGUAAAGACGGGUUGUUCGAUACUAGGGAAUUAAUCCUUCUACGAAACAUAACGCAAAUGCGUUUUGUAGAAUACUAGGGAAUUCAUGUUUCUACGAAAUGUAACGUAAAGGCGGAUUGUUCGAUCCUAAGAAAUUAUUCCUCUUACGAAAUGUAACGUAAAGAUAGUUUGUUCGAUCUUAGGGAAUUCGUCCUUUUA